UUUUUAUAAUUCAUAAAUUUUUUAUAAAUAUAUUAAUAUAAAAAUUUAUGAGUUAUUAGUUUGGGGUGAAUUUAAAAUUUAAUAAACUUUUAAUUAUUUAAAUAAUGAUUUUUAAAUUAUUGAUCCAAUUUUUUUGAUUAUAAAAUUAAGU
rnacentral:rRNA from 1 species